CCCCCAGCCCCGCUUUCUGAGCCUUACCUGCUACCAUCACUUGGCCACCCACACAGGCUUUCGAACGGCACAAAGCGCUCCACCGAGGCCUCCGAAAUCACCCCAACCCGGGCCGGGGUCCUGGAAGCCAUUCAUCCCCCCACUCAGGUUUCCGCCUUACAGAUCUGUGCCAGGUCCUGUGCUUAAGCUUUACAGGCAUCAUCGUAGCAGGUAUUAUAUUUCCUCAUUUAUAGAGAAGGAAACAAGCUCAGAGCCACGAAGCCACCAGCCACAGUCACAACGUGCCGAAGGGACAAAGCAUAGAUUGGGACCCAGGAGAUUACAAGAACCAAGGAUGAUUGUAACAUCUCCUGGUACCCCAGAUGGGACCCUCAUUUUAGGUCCCCACAGGAGUUAGCAAGACUUCCUGGAGGACAGAGGCAACUGACCAGGUGGUAACAAAGGUGGCCCCUCUGGACCAUUGCUUUGGUGUUGGUGCUUUGGAGAGUCAAGUCUGGACCCUAGUCCUGAAGAGUUCCAUCACCAUCACCACUGUGGAGCCUUGGGUCACCCUCAAUAUGGCAGGUAGGAAAACUAAAUUCCUUAUGGAUACCAGAGUCCCCUACUCUGUCCUGACCCAUCCUGAUGGAUCUCUGUUCAGUGCCAGUUGUACAGUGACGGGAACAGAUGGUCAACCCAAGGUAAGACAGUUUACCUUUCCUUUGACUUGUAAAAUUGGAUCUAAGGCUAUCACUUAUUCCUUCCUAUAUGUCCCAGAGUGUCCCCUUCCUUUAAUGGUUCAUGACUUAUUAUCUAAGUUGGGAGCCUCAGUUUCCCUCCAGGGUAAUGCCAUACAAGUCUCAGUGCCCCCUGAGAAAGGAAUCCAUUUACUGGCCCUUUUGGCUCCCCAAGAUCAGAAGCUACCCCCAGUCCUAGAAAAGAUAUUGAUUUGAGUGGAAAAGUCUGUAUGGGAUACCAACAUUUCAGGACAGGUCAUCAAUGAGGACAAUAUUAAAAUAAAGCUUAAGCCAGGCCUACCCUACCCAUGCAAGCCAAAAUACCAUUUGAGGCCAGAAGCCCUACAAGGGAGAUGGCCCCUCCUGGAAACAUUGAUACAGAACAGACUAAUUCAGCAGUCCCCUUGUAAUACUCCAGUCCUGCCUGUGAAGAAACCAAAUGGGGAAUACCACUUUGUUCCACACUUUAGAGUAGUGAAUGACUCAGUUGUUCCAUGAUCCUUCAGUCCCUAAUUCAUACACACUCCGCUCUCAAAUCCCUGGGUGCACACAGUUUUACACUGUGCUGGAUCUAAAGGAUGUUUUCUUUAAUAUAUGCUGCAUCCUGACUCCACCUACAUUUUUGCCUUUAAAUGGAAGGAUCCAGAGACUCAGGAAACUCUCCAGUGUACUUGGACAGUGCUACCCCAGGGGUUUCCAGAUAGCCUCCACCUCUCUGGGCAAGCCCUGGAAGUCCUAAUUCAGAAGUUAGGGCCUGUCCAAAGGCCAGUGACUUAUUUUUUAAACCAACUGGACCCAGUAGCCCAGGGGUGGCCUGGCUGUCUUAGGGCAAUGGCGGCCACCAGCCUCCUGGUCAGGGAGGUCUCCAAACUCAUGCUAGGCCAAUCCCUUGAGGUUUAUACUCCUUACCAGGUCCAGAAUGUGUUGGAAAUCAAAGGGAGCCACUGGCUAAGUCGGGGAAGGUUAACUCAAAAUCAAGCCCCACUGUUAGACACCCCAGACUUGACCUUAAAGAUAUAUGAGUCCUUGAAUCCUGCCACCCUCCUUCCCUUGCCCACCUUGGGGACACUGGAACACACUUAUGUGGAAACUUUAGAGCAGAUCUAUUCUAGUUGGAUAGAUUUACGGGAGACGCCUUGAGAGAAUCCAGAUGAAGAAUGGUUUACAGAUGGGAGUUGUUUUGUAGAAAAUGGAGCCUGCAGGCCAGGCAUGGUGGCACGCCACCACACCCAGCUAAUUUUUUGUAUUUUAGCAGAGACAGGCUUCACCAUGUUGCCCAGGCUGGUCUCGAAGUCCUGGGCUCGUGAUGCACCUGUAAUCCCAGCUACUCAGGAGGCUGAGACAGCAGAAUCGCUUGAACCUGGGAGGCGGAGGUUGCAGUGAGCCAAGAUCACGCCAUUGCACUCCAGCCUGGGUGACAGAGCGAGACUCCAUCUAAAAAAACAAACAAACAAACAAAUAAAAUGGAGCCAGGAAGGCAAAACAUGCAAUUGUCAGCCUACGCUGGACCAGAGAGGCAAAAUUAGUUCCCCCAAGCACUUCAACUCAGGAAGCAGAGCUCCAAGCCUUAGUUAAGGGCUCUUCAGCUUGAAGAAGGGAAGAGACUUAAUAUAUAUACUGAUUCUAAGUAUGGAUUCCUAAUGCUCCAUACUCAUGCAGCUGUCUGGAAAGAGGAGAAUGCUUACUGCCAGGAGCACCCAGACAAAACACAAUGAAGUGAUUUUAUUCCUCCUUGAGGCAGUUCAUCUCUAUAUUAGUCCGCUCUUACACUGCUAUAAAGACAUACCUGAGACUGGGUAAUUUAUAAACAAAGGAAGUUUAAUUGACUCACAGUUCUGCAUGGCUGGGAGGCUUCAGGAAACUUACAAUCAUGGGGGAAGGUGAAGGGGAAGCAAGGCACAUCUUGCAUGGCAGCAGGAGAGUGAGUGAAGGAAGCCACACACUUUUAAGCUAUCAGAUCUCAUGAGAACUCUCGUACUACUGUGAAAACAGCAUUGGGGAAACUGCCCCUGUGAUCCAAUCACCUCCCACCAAGUACUUCCCUUGACAUGAGGAGAUUACAAUUCGAGAUGAGAUUUGGGUGGGGACACAGAGCCAAACCAUAUUAAGCGCCCUGCCCAAAUAGCUGUUAUGUCCUGUAAAGGGCAACAAAAAGACAAUUCUUUAAUCAGCCAAGGAAACAACCAGGCUGAUAGAGCUGCCAAACAGGCAGCUGGGCCGGGCACGGUAGCUCAUGCCUGUAAUCCCAGCACUUUGGGAGGCUGAGGCAGGCGGAUCACGAGGUCAAGAGAUCAAGACCAUCCUGGCUAACAUGGUGAAACCCCAUCUCUACUGAAAAUACAAAAAAUUAGCUGGGCGUGGUGGUGGGCGCCUGUAGUCCCAGCUACUUGGGAGGCUGAGGCAGGAGAAUGGCGUGAACCCGGGAGGUGGAGCUUACAGUGAGCUGAAACCGCACCUCAGCACUCCAGCCUAGGGGACAGAGCAAAGAGCGAGAUUCCGUCUCAAAAAAAAAAAAAAAGAAAUUGGCAGUGGUUGGCCGGGAGCGAUGGCUCACGCCUGUAAUCCCAGCACUUUGGGAGGCCAAGGCGGGAGGAUCACCUAAGGUCAGGAGUUCGAGACCAGCCUGGCCAACAUGGUGAAACCCUGUCUCUACUAAAAUACACAAAAAUUAGCUGGGCAUGGUGGUGCAUGCCUGUAGUCCCAGCUACUUGGGAGGCUGAGGCAGGAGAACCGCUUGAACCCAGGAGGGAGAGAUUGCCAUGAGCUGAGAUGGCACCACUGCACUCCAGCCUGGGCAACAGAGUGAGACUCUGUCAAAAAAAAAAACUGAGCAGAUGAAGGAGGGUAUAAUUUAAAUGGUCAGAGUGGAUAGAAGAUCAGCAACAAUGCCUCUUCCUACCAGAAGCUGACCAAUGGAAAGUCAUCAAAAGACUUCAUGAGGAAACUCAUUAUGAGAGAGACUCACUAUGGAAUUUAAUCCAAAAUCUCCUAGUGAGCAAGGCUUUAAAAGCUACAGCAUAACAAGCAUGGUGGUUCACACCAGUAAUCCCAGCAUUUGAGGAGACUGAGGCAGGAGGAUUGCUUGAGCCCAGGAGAUCAGGACCAGCCUGGGCAACAUGAUAAGACUGUGUCUCUACAAAAGCAUUUUUAAAAAUUAUCUGGGCAUGGUGGAAUGCAUCUGUGGUCCUACUUGGGAAGCUGAGGUGGGAGGAUUGCUCGAGCCCAGGAGUUUGAGGCAGCAGUGAGUCAAGAUUGCACAAUUGCACUCCAGCCUGGGUGACAAAGCGAGACCUUGUCAAAAAAAUAAAAAAAUAAAAAAGCCACGGUGGGCCAGGUGCAGUGGCUCACACCUGUAAGCCCAGCAGUUUGGGAGGCUGAGGUGGGUGGAUUACCUGAGGUCAGGAGUUCGAGACCAACCUGGCCAACUUAGUGAAACCCCGUCUCUACUAAAAAUACAAAAAUUAGCUAGGUGUGGUGGCGCAUGCCUGUAAUCCCAGCUACUCAGGAGGCUGAAGCAGGAGAAUUGCUUGAACCUGAGAGGCAGAGGCCACAGUGAGCAAAGAUCAUGCCACUGCACUCCAGCCUGGGUGACAGAGUAAGACUCAGUCUCAAAAAAUAAAAAUAAAAAAGCCACAGUGGACUCUGUAACUCAAGCAUGUGAAAUUUGUCUUAGAAAUAAUUCCUGAGCCCAUGCACUGGCUCUGCCCCAGUGCAGCAUAAGAAGACCUAUCCUGGAGAAGACUGGCGAAUUACACAGAUACCCCUAAAGGGGAAUUCAAAUAUAUUCUGAUUUUUAUAGACACUUUCACAGGCUGGGUGGAAGCUUUCCCCACACAAACAGAAAAAGCAAUUGAAGUUUGUAAAUGACAGCUUAAAGCCCGGGUGCGGUGGCUCACGCCUGUAAUCCCAGCAGUUUGGGAGGCUGAGGUGGGCGGAUCACCUGAGGCCAGGAGUUCGAGACCAGCCUGACCAACAUGGUGAAACCCCAUCUCUACUAAAAAUACAAAAAUUAAGGCCAGGCGCGGUGGCUCACACCUGUAAUCCCUGCACUUUGGGAGGCUGAGGCAGGCGGAUCACAAUCAGGAGAUCGAGACCAUCCUGGUUAACACGGUGAAACCCCAUCUCUACUAAAAAUACAAAAAAUUAGCCAGGCAUGGUGGCAGGCACCUGUAGUCCCAACUACUUGGGAGGCUGAGGCAGGAGAAUGGCAUGAACCUGGGAGACGGAGCUUGCAGGGAGCUGAGAUCGCACCACUGCACUCCAGCCUGGGUGACAGAGUGAGACUCCGUCUCAAAAAAAAAAAAUACAAAAAUUAGCUGGGCCUGGUGGCACAGGGCACCUGUAAUCCCAGCUACUAGGAAGGCUGAGGCAGGAGAAUCACCUGAACCCUGGAGGUGGAGGUUGCAGUGAACUGAGAUCAUGCCACUGCAUUCCAACCUGGGUGACAAGAACGAGACUCUGUCAAAAAAAAAAUUAAAAACCAAACCAAACCAGACAAACAAAAAGUAAAUGGCUGCUUAAACAAGGAAUUCCUAGGUUUGGGCUUCCAGCCUCCCUACAAAGUGACAACAGGCUGUCUUUUAUCACCUAGGUCACCAAAGGGCUGUCUAGCAGUCUUAGCAUCCAAUACAAACUUCACUCUGCCUGGCAUCCUCAAUCUUCUGGGAAAGUUGAGAGAAUGAAUCAAAUCUUGGCUACACUAUGCCAAGAAGCCCAGAAAUCAUGGAUUAAGUGCCUCCCUAUUGCCUUACUAAGAAUAAGAUCCACCCCAAAGGGGAACUUAAAGCUCAGCCCUUUUAAAAUGACCUAUUGGAGCAGUCCUUUCUCAAGACAAACUUUCUAAUAGAUGAAGACUUAAAUCAGGCUUUAAAAUACAUUAUCAACUUGGGGAAAA